rnacentral:rRNA from 1 species
UACGUAGGGGGCAAGCGUUGUCCGGAAUCAUUGGGCGUAAAGAACGUGUAGGCGGCCCGGUAAGUCCGCUGUAAAAGUCAAAGGCUCAACCUUUGAAUGUCAGUGGAUACUGCCGGGCUAGAGUCCGGAAGAGGCGAGUGGAACUCCUGGUGUAGCGGUGAAAUGCGCAGAUAUCGGGAGGAACACCAAUGGCGAAGGCAGCUCGCUGGGACGGUACUGACGCUGAGACGCGAAAGCGUGGGGAGCAAACAGGG